rnacentral:lncRNA from 1 species
GGCGAGUCAGGAAAGUUGAACAUUGCUGAGGCACUCCGAGCAAUUUGUGUGGAUUCCAUGUGACAGAAUCAGCUCUGAAAAGUACGAAAUAUGGCGAUGCUUCGUGGACAUUAGCGCCCCACCCCCCCACGCCGCGUCUACAUGCAUCCACAUACCAAACUCUUGACAUAUGUCGGCAAUGCCAUCAAGCGGAUCAGUCGCGCCUAAUACAGUGGUCCCUAUAUACCAUGAAUGGCCUGGCAUUCUCAUUUAAAGCACGCUGCACUUCUUGUCGAAGAUGAACUAAAUCCAUUCGACCACUAGUAUCCACAUCUACCAGAUAAAGAUUCGACACACCUAUUCCCAGAAGAAAACAAGCUUUCUUGAUCGAAUAAUGAGCAUCUUUGGAGGUCAGCACUACGAGACGAGGCUAGGCAUAGCGCGAUGGCGGGCACAUUGAAUGCCGUAUAUAUUAGCCAUCGAACCGCCCGGGCAAAACACUCCGUCUCCACUACCGUCUGGGAAUCCUACCCAUCGUCGCAUUUCACGAAGAAUCUGGUGCUCGAGCAAUGUGAAAACUGGAGCAACUUCGCACCUGGUAGUUUAUAUACUCCCAUCGUUUUAGGAUUAGGAGCCAUCCAAUUCUGAUCGCAACGAUGCGUUUGUGAACUGGGCAAGAGGAAAAACCAAAGAUAAUUAACCUUGUCCAAAGACAGGACACGCUCCAAACGAAGGAUUUCCUUCGGAACCAAUAAUUUACAAAGGAAGACAUCAAUUGAAGAUUUUGUCUUUAUUUCACGGCGGUAAAUCUGAUAUGAUUGAUUGUCAAUUACUUCCGAUCAAUUAAGCCUUUUUAUGGUCGGCUUUUUUUACGCAACAUAAAAAUUGCACUGUGGGGCGCACGCCGCUAGAACAGUGAGACUGAUUCAAUUUCCAAGUCGUUAAGCUGAACAUUGCAGUCGGACCUCGGACUUUUACCGCUUUAGCUGAUUGCCUGAUUGGCUGAUUUGGCUCUUUGCUAACUCUUUGCUAACAAAUAACCGUUGCUGCUGCUGCCUUACAGCCACAGGCAGGAAAAUUAUUCUUUUCUUCAGAUGGAAAGCUGCUGGAGUAAUCUGGUGUUGAUGCUCAUUACAUUCAUUUCGUGCCAGAUUGCCAGCUAUUGAAAGCCGAAAGGCAUGUCAAAUUCAAGUUGAGCUGCUGCGUGCUGUCUGGAAGCAAGCAAUCCAGCCGUUGCGUUCAGUCAUUUGAACAGGAAUCUAAUGGCUGUCAAUAGGUGGCUGUCAAUAGUUGGCUGAAAUGUCCACCAGGUAGCGCGAGUGUCUGCCAGGGAUGCAUUUUGGCCAUUUUGUUCCAAGACGUAGCAGAAAUGGGUUGCUGGUCGUGACAUUUCUCACGAUGAAAAUUGAAAGGGUGAUUUAGCAUGUGGAAACCACUUUGCCAAGUCAUUCAACUCAGACUUGGAAGUGCCUGUACAUUGCCGAAAUGGCGUGCCUCGUGCGUCUCGCUGCUUGUUCUUAGGCGUAUGUCUCAUCCCAUACAACAGCAAAAAGUAUAACAAAUACUUCUUGAACGCUGUUGGUUUCCUUGUUGCUGCCAAAUGGUGAAAGGAAGAAGAGUACGAAGACGGAUUGAACCAUUAUAUGCAGCAUGCGGUUGCAGUGUAAUCCAGAAGUAGCUGUGAUGGUGUUAUCCUGAAAUUGCUGUGCCUGUUGUAGCUGAGCUGUUCCAUCUGGGUUCCUGAGUUGAAAAAUUUUGUGUUGUUGUUUGCCUGCCAGUAUUUUGUGUUGUAACUUCAAAUAGUUUGAUUUGUCGUCUUUUGAGUUUUCAUUCAAUCAUGCAGUAUACGACUGAGGCAACCUGAUCAAUAUCAGAUUUGACACAGUCGAGAACUGCUAGAUUAAACAAGCUUUCUGCGCCAAACAAAUAAUAACUUGCACAUAACUUGCAUCAUGUUAUUAUCGCGGUAGAGAAAGCGACAGGCCCCC